rnacentral:rRNA from 1 species
AUUGAACGCUGGCGGCAUGCUUUACACAUGCAAGUCGAACGGCAGCGCGGGCUUCGGCCUGGCGGCGAGUGGCGAACGGGUGAGUAAUGCAUCGGAACGUGCCCAGUAGUGGGGGAUAGCCCGACGAAAGCCGGAUUAAUACCGCAUCCGACCUGAGGUUGAAAGCGGGGGACCGAAAGGCCUCGCGCGAUUGGAGCGGCCGUUGUCGGAUUAGCUAGUUGGUGGGGUAAAGGCUUACCAAGGCGACGAUCCGUAGCUGGUCUGAGAGGACGACCAGCCACACUGGGACUGAGACACGGCCCAGACUCCUACGGGAGGCAGCAGUGGGGAAUUUUGGACAAUGGGGGCAACCCUGAUCCAGCCAUGCCGCGUGCGGGAAGAAGGCCUUCGGGUUGUAAAACGCUUUUGUUCGGGAAGAAAUCCUCUGGGCUAAUACCCCGGGGGGAUGACGGUACCGGAAGAAUAAGCACCGGCUAACUACGUG